rnacentral:rRNA from 1 species
CCUACGGGGGACAGCAGUGAGGAAUAUUGGUCAAUGGGCGCCAGCCUGAACCAGCCAAGUAGCGUGAAGGAUGACUGCCCUAUGGGUUGUAAACUUCUUUUAUACAGGAAUAAAGUGAGGCACGUGUGCCUUUUUUUAUGUAUUUUAUGAAUAAGGAUCGGCUAACUCCGUGCCAGCAGCCGCGGUAAUACGGAGGAUCCAAGCGUUAUCCGGAUUUAUUGGGUUUAAAGGGAGCUUAGCUGGGUUGUUAAGUCAGUUGUGAAAGUUUGCGGCUCAACAGUAGAAUUGCAUUUGAUACUGGCAGCCUUGAGUACAGUUGAGGUAGGCGGAAUGCGUGGUGUAGAGGUGAAAUGCUGAGAGAUCACGAAGAACUCCGAUUGCGAAGGCAGCCUACUAAACUGCAACUGACGUUGAUGCUCGAAAGUGUGGGUAUCAAACAGGAUUAGAUACCCGAGUAGUC